rnacentral:rRNA from 2 species
GUGGGGAAUAUUGCACAAUGGGCGAAAGCCUGAUGCAGCGACGCCGCGUGAGGGAUGACGGCCUUCGGGUUGUAAACCUCUUUCAGCAGGGACGAAGCGCAAGUGACGGUACCUGCAGAAGAAGCACCGGCUAACUACGUGCCAGCAGCCGCGGUAAUACGUAGGGUGCAAGCGUUGUCCGGAAUUACUGGGCGUAAAGAGUUCGUAGGCGGUUUGUCGCGUCGUUUGUGAAAACCAGCAGCUCAACUGCUGGCUUGCAGGCGAUACGGGCAGACUUGAGUACUGCAGGGGAGACUGGAAUUCCUGGUGUAGCGGUGAAAUGCGCAGAUAUCAGGAGGAACACCGGUGGCGAAGGCGGGUCUCUGGGCAGUAACUGACGCUGAGGAACGAAAGCGUGGGUAGCGAACAGG